rnacentral:rRNA from 1 species
UACAGGGGGGGCAAGCGUUGUUCGGAAUUACUGGGCGUAAAGGGCUCGUAGGCGGCCAACUAAGUCACACGUGAAAUCCCCAGGCUUAACCUGGGAACUGCGUGUGAUACUGGAUGGCUUGAAUUCGGGAGAGGGAUGCAGAAUUCCAGGUGUAGCGGUGAAAUGCGUAGAUAUCUGGAGGAAUACCGGUGGCGAAGGCGGCAUCCUGGACCGACAUUGACGCUGAGGAGCGAAAGCGUGGGGAGCAAACAGG